rnacentral:rRNA from 1 species
CCUACGGGAGGCAGCAGUGGGGAAUCUUGCGCAAUGGGCGAAAGCCUGACGCAGCAACGCCGCGUGCGGGAAGAAGGCUUUCGGGCUGUAAACCGCUUUCAGCAGGAACGAAAAUGACGGUACCUGCAGAAGAAGGAGCGGCCAACUAUGUGCCAGCAGCCGCGGUGAUACAUAGGCUUCAAGCGUUGUCCGGAUUUAUUGGGCGUAAAGAGUUCGUAGGCGGUCGAGUAAGUCGGGUGUGAAAAUUCUGGGCUCAACCCAGAGACGCCACCCGAUACUGCUUAACUUGAGUUCGAUAGGGGAGUGGGGAAUUCCUAGUGUAGCGGUGAAAUGCGCAGAUAUUAGGAGGAACACCGGUGGCGAAGGCGCCACUCUGGAUCGAUACUGACGCUGAGGAACGAAAGCAUGGGUAGCAAACAGGAUUAGAUACCCUGGUAGUCCAUGCCGUAAACGGUGGGCACUAGGUGUGGGAUUCUAUUAACGAAUUCCGCGCCGUCGCUAACGCAUUAAGUGCCCCGCCUGGGGAGUACGGUCGCAAGACUAAAACUCAAAGAUAGUCGCGNGNGAGAGCGACGACGACGACGAGGAGGAG